AUUAUCCACGCUUUUAACAAAUAAUAAAUAUUAAUAAAAACAGUUGUGAAUUUAUUUUUAAAUAGAAGUACUAGUACGCGUUUUACAAUAAUUAUUUUAGUUGAUUUUGUAAUUUCUACUUGAAAAUUUGCUUAAAUGUAUGCAACUAACAUUGCAGAACAAAAAGGAAGUGACAUUUUUUAUGCUAAUGAAAAUUUAAUCUCUUACGUUGUGUUAAUAUAUAAAGAAACCGGUCCCAAAAUCGUUUAGUUGAAUAUAGAUUGUUCAUAUUACUAUAAUAUUAUUAUGUGGUAAAGAUAUAAAUAUAUUCUGACGUCACACAAAACGUUAUUGAUGUCAACAUUAAAAAACGCCUGAUGGCGUCGCAUUUCUCUUUUGUUCUGUAAACAAACGAUGGAAAAAAAUUUUCCCUGUUCUAUCCUUUCAAGUGUCGAACCUUGAGGUACACACACGAUAUAUUUUUUAGUUUGAUUUUUUUCAUAAGUGAAUAAUCAAACUAAAAUAGCGCUUUACUACAAGGCAUCCUGGUUUUAGGCCUUCUCCUACUUUUGCUGUUACCCUUUUUUUAACUGAAGCUAAAGAAAGCGGUGGAAUGGUUACUGGUCUCUACUAAUUAAAGAAGAAUCAACAGCCAUGGACAAAACGGUCAAAAGCAGGGGAUGGCCUUUAACAGGUGCUAAGUGUAACAUCAAACCAUUACUAUUUGAUCUCGAGGAAGCACUUUCUGUAGAGAACACCUACAGGCCCAGUGUAUUAGCAAUUCAAUAUAACGUUAAACCAGGAGAAGUUACUCUCAAGUCCAGGGAUGGUAUUGUACAUCUUCUUCGUUUCCUGAAGUCUUGGUUUGAUACCCCAGAACAAGUCUUUUUUGUAGCCGUCGGCUAUCUGGAUGCAUUUAUAGCACGUAUAAAGGUACCAGAAAAGUACUUGAUGUGUCUUGCAUUUGCUUGUUUCUUCAUAGCUGCCCGUGAAGAGCAACUUGACAUUCCUUUAAGCACUCUGAUCUACAUGGCUAGGUGCAAUUUUACUUUCCAAGACGUACUAAGAAUGGUGGACGUUGUUACAAACAAGCUCCAAUUAGGGUCCAAAAUCACUACUAUUGGAGAUAUUCUUCGGCUGUAUAUCCAGUUUUUAGGAAGCUGUCACUCAACCGUAAGUGAAAUUCUGGAUGAAGAAGAGUUGUUGACCAAGCUGGGGGUUCUGCUGACUGACAGCAGCUGUGCAUUUUUCAGACCAUCAGUGUUAGCCUUCACACUUUUGAGAUUUGAAGUUGACAAGCAACUAUCUCAUACUAUUAACAAAACAGCAAGUUUUGGUGACGUCAUCCAUACAUUAGCUGUGAUGAAGGAGUUACAACUGAGAUGUGAGCUCUAAACAGAUUAGCGGUGGUCUAUUGAUACCACUCCCGGAGAUUUCGGAGCCAGGAUGUUCUUUUUCGGCCUGGGCCACUUCUUCCGGUGAUCUUGUGCUGUAUUAUGAGAUGUAGGUGAUACGUUAUACCUCUCUGGAUGUCUCAUUACAUGGCCGAAAUAAUACAUCAGCUGCUGACUUGGUUAGUUGUUCCCAAUUCGCAUCCAAAGUGUUAAAACGCUACAACAACCAUGAACCCUGCGGAAACAAUGCGUACCUGAAAUGGAACUUUUUUCCAUCAUUCCGUAGACGUGACCGCUCCUCCCGAUCGACCCUGAGUGUAAUCAAUGAGAAACCUAAUGGGCAAAUCAAAAAUGGAAGAAUCAAUAGGAAGAAGAAUCGUACUAACUAAUUGCCAAAUUUCUAUGCAGUACUAUUGUAAGCACAGUUUGUUUUAAAUUCUUAUAAAAAAAUGGUCUUAGCUUUUAAUGUAUAGUGUGUGUUAACUGCAAGUUUGUUCAUGUGUAAUUAAUUCCCAGAAUCGUUUCAAUAUUAAUUUAUAUAUCCUUAUUCAUCCUCAUUUGUAUUGUGGAAUCUUGCAUUGACACACACUUACCUAAUUUUUAAAGAGACAAACGAUAAUUUCUUCUUUGUCCGUCAGCUCCUAUAUUUUUUGAACAUCUUCAAUACCAUAUUUACUCGUUGGAAAAUGGACUGCAAGAAGUUAUGUUUGUCUCCUUAUUUUUAUUCUAGAGUACCUAUAUGUAACCUAAGAUAUCUAUAUCGAAAGUGAUGUGAGUGUAAAUUAUAUGUUUUUAUGUAAAGAGUUUACUAUAUAUAUUUUUAUGAAAAAUUUAAAUCUAGUGAUAUUAAAUAUAAGCUGUGAGUCUCUAUUGAGCGCCAUUUUUUGACUUGCUACAAAAACUUGCGUUCUGGUAAAUUUUGCAUGAUAAGCUACACCACAUCACAAAAAUUUGUAAAAUUUUAUAUAAAAAAAUAUAGGUAUACAUAAUUGCAAAAUAUGCAAAAAAAAUAUAAAAUGUUUUAAAUAUUAAAAAAUAUCUUGGUUAAAAUGUUACAUAUUUUUAGUUUUAUUUUUAAAAAGAUUUUGAUUGAUUAUAAAUGUGCUUACUCAUUGUCUGUUCUGUCCUGAAACUAGUCCUUCUGAUUUGUUACCAUGUAAUGGCAUAUCUUUUGAAUACGCUAAUAUACAUCUCCACAGAA
rnacentral:misc_RNA from 1 species